GUAUAUUAAAGUUGUUGCGGUUAAAAAGCUCGUAGUUGGAUUUCUGUCGAGGAUGACCGGUCCGCACUUUGUGCGUGCAUCUGGUUCAGCCUUGGCAUCCUCCUGGGGAACGUAUCUGCGCUUAAUUGCGUGGUGCGGUAUUCAGGACUUUUACUUUGAGGAAAUUAGAGUGUUCACGGCAGGCAAUCGCCUUGAAUACAUUAGCAUGGAAUAAUAAUAUAGGACCUUGGUCCCAUUUUGUUGGUUUCUGGAACUAAGGUAAUGAUUAAUAGGGAUAAUUGGGGGCAUUCGUAUUAACGUGUCAGAGGUGGAAUUCUUGGAUUACGUUACGACGAACUACUGCGAAAGCAUUUGCCAAGGAUGUUUUCAUUGAUCAAGAACGAAAGUUCGGGGAUCGAAGAUGAUUAGAUACCAUCGUAGUCCGAACCAUAAACUAUGCCAACUAGAGAUGGGCGAUCGUUAUUUUUUCGACUUCGUCCGCACCUUAUGAGAAAUCAAAGUCUUUGGGUUCCGGGGGGAGUAUGGUCGCAAGGCUGAAACUUAAA
rnacentral:rRNA from 1 species